rnacentral:tRNA from 1 species
GGGGGUAUAGCUUGGGGUGGAGCAUUUGACUGCAGAUCAACAGGUCCCUGGUUCAAAUCUGGUUGCCCACU